rnacentral:rRNA from 1 species
GACGAACGCUGGCGGCGUGCCUAAUACAUGCAAGUCGAACGCACAGUUUAUACCGUAGCUUGCUACACCAUAGACUGUGAGUUGCGAACGGGUGAGUAACGCGUAGGUAACCUGCCUGGUAGCGGGGGAUAACUAUUGGAAACGAUAGCUAAUACCGCAUAAUAUUGAUUAUUGCAUGAUAAUUGAUUGAAAGAUGCUAUUGCAUCACUACCAGAUGGACCUGCGUUGUAUUAGCUAGUAGGUGAGGUAACGGCUCACCUAGGCGACGAUACAUAGCCGACCUGAGAGGGUGAUCGGCCACACUGGGACUGAGACACGGCCCAGACUCCUACGGGAGGCAGCAGUAGGGAAUCUUCGGCAAUGGACGAAAGUCUGACCGAGCAACGCCGCGUGAGUGAAGAAGGGUUUCGGAUCGUAAAGCUCUGUUGUAAGAGAAGAACGGGUGUGAGAGUGGAAAGUUCACACUGUGGCGGUAGCUUACCAGAAAGGGACGGCUAACUACGUG